rnacentral:rRNA from 1 species
AUUGAACGCUGGCGGCAUGCUUUACACAUGCAAGUCGAACGGUAACAGGCCUUCGGGUGCUGACGAGUGGCGAACGGGUGAGUAAUGCAUCGGAACGUGCCCAGAGGUGGGGGAUAACGCAGCGAAAGCUGUGCUAAUACCGCAUGUGAUCUGAGGAUGAAAGCGGGGGACCAGGCAGCAAUGUUUGGCCUCGCGCCUUUGGAGCGGCCGAUGUCAGAUUAGGUAGUUGGGGGGGUAAAGGCCUACCAAGCCGACGAUCUGUAGCUGGUCUGAGAGGACGACCGGCCACACUGGGACUGAGACAGGGCCCAGACUCCUACGGGAGGCAGCAGUGGGGAAUUUUGGACAAUGGGCGCAAGCCUGAUCCAGCAAUGCCGCGUGCGAGAAGAAGGCCUUCGGGUUGUAAACCGCUUUUGUACGGAACGAAAAGGCUCUGGCUAAUACCUGGCGCUGAUGACGGUACCGGAAGAAUAAGCACCGGCUAACUACGUG